CUCCAUCAAAGGAGGUGGGGAAGGACUGGGCACCAGCAGCCAGAAGCAGCAGAAGACGCCCUGCCUGAGAACUGGUCUACUCGACCGCCCCUCUUUCACCGCGACGCCUUUUUUUUUAAGGGCAACCAUGGUCUGGGGAUUCGUGACGUGCGGCCCUAACGAGGCCCUGGUGAUAUCAGGAUGUUGUUACCAUGGAAAGCCCCUGACGGUAGUAGGAGGACGCGCCUUUGUUUGGCCAUGUAUUCAAAUGCUACAAAGGAUAUCGCUCAACGUCAUGACAUUGAACGUGGAGUCCCCUCGCGUCUACACUGCCCAAGGUGUACCUAUCUCAGUCACAGGUAUUGCUCAGGUGAAGGUACAAGGUCAGUAUGAGGAAAUGCUCCUAGCUGCUUGCGAGCAGUUCUUGGGGAAGACGGAAGGCGAAAUCCAGCAGGUGGCACUGGAGACUCUUGAGGGCCACCAACGAGCCAUCAUGGGCUCCAUGUCUGUUGAGGAGAUCUACAAGGACCGCAAGAAGUUCAAUCAGAAUGUCUUCGAGGUGGCGUCGAGCGAUCUGAUCAACAUGGGAAUCACCGUCUUGUCGUACACGCUCAAGGACAUCCAUGACGAUGAGACCUACUAUGCCAAGGGCUAUUUGGACGCGCUCGGUAUGGCUCGAACGGCAGAGGUCAAGCGAGACGCUCGCAUAGGUGAAGCAGAAGCUUCAAAGGAUUCUCAGAUUAAGGAAGCCAUUGCAGAAGAAGAGCGUAUGGCAGCCAAGUACAUAAACGACACUGAAAUUGCAAAGGCUCAGCGUGAUUUUGAGUUGAAGAAAGCCAGUUAUGACAUGGAAGUGAAUGCCAAGAAAGCUGAAGCUGAACUGGCUUAUGAACUUCAGGCAGCCAAAACACGACAGAAAAUCAAGGAGGAACAGAUGCAGAUCAAGGUGGUGGAACGAGCCCAAGAGGUUCACAUCCAGGACCAGGAAAUCCAGCGUCGUGAGCGCGAGUUGGAGGCCACGGUGAAGCAGUCAGCUGAUGCAGAGAAGUUCAAGCUUGAAAAGUUGGCGGAAGCUGCCAGGAACAGGACACUGCUGGAGGCCGAGGCUGAAGCAGAAGCUAUCCGUGUGAAGGGUGAAGCUGAGGCUUACUCUGUUGAAGCUAAGGCCAAGGCUGAGGCCAUGAUUAUGCAACAGAAAGCAGAAGCAAUGAAGGAGUACAAGGAAGCUGCCAUGCUGGAGAUGUACCUUGCAACUAUGCCAAAGAUUGCCGCAGAAGUCGCAGCACCACUCUCCCAGACCAAGAAGCUGACAAUGGUGAGCACCGGACAAUCUGAAGUAGGAGCUGCAAAAUUGACAGGCGAAGUCAUGGAUAUCAUCAGCAAAGUUCCACACAUGGUGAAGAAUAUGACUGGUAUCGACGUCACAAAGGGGUUUGAACACUUGUCUUAGUAUCUGAGGCAGAUUAGUGGAUUCGAGGAGCAGGCCAGAAUGGCCUUAUCUUGACCGUAUGAGUAUCCGGGCAGUGUAGGAGGGAGCUGACCUGUAAGUUUCAUUUGUGGAGGAACCUACAAGCAACAGCCAGCCAGCCUUGCUGUGACUGUGGUCACGCAAGAAGUGUAUAAGAUCUUGUAGUAAUCUUGAAUAACCUGUGUUUUCUGUCAGUAGUUUUUUUGUUUCAAAAUUGAUAUCACUCAAAUUAAGGCACAGAAAACUUCGUAAUGAGAUACAUAUUAGAAUGAAGAAAAGGUUUAUAAUGAUUUUGAUCGUAAGUUGUCCAUCUCCUCCCAGUGUAGAAGUCCCCCCAGAAAGGUAGCUGAGGAUCUGGAUUUAUAGUAGAGCAGAUUGUAGAGUUAAAUGAAUUUUCGUACAUUUUUAUGGAUGCUGUACUAUUAUUAACAGGCACUAGAAAAAUACUUGAUAGAGUUAUUUCUUAAUGUUACGAAAGUCUUCAAAGGAAGGACACCGCAGGCCAUAUUUAGUGAACAACCAUCUGGACUUCUGUGCUCCAGUUGCCAGUUUCUCAAGGAAGUAAAUUCGGGGAAAUGACCAUCAAAGACUGCUGAUCUAUGUGGUUAUUUUUCUCAUGUUUUCUAUGUUCAGUGCAACUUGGUAACUUAAGACUUGUCAGUUGUUCCCUAUAGAGAUGGCUCAUGUUGCCAAUGCCUUAUGAAUCCCCCAUAUACAACUUUUAUAUAAAUAUAUAUAUACAUACACACAGCAGUUCGGCGAUUUUUUGUCUCUGAACUUGCACAAAGGUAGUGUGUGUGGGAAUGACAGCUUGGAGUUUUGGUAUACAUUUUAAGUUUAAUUUUUUCUCUGUACAUAUAUUUACUAUUUUUAUGACAGGCUGCCCACCAAGUACCUUUUUUCCAGCAUACAGUGCAAUAUUACAGUGCAGUAACAGUAGUUUAUACAGCGGCUUUUCCGUAUGCAGUUGUAAUUUUUGUUCUCCUGAAGAACAAGCUGUUAUAUCCUUAGACAUCCUACCAUUGUGUUACCUGAAUAUAACGAUGCCUUGUAAUCUAGAAUUUGAACUAUCAAAAUAUAGGCAUUUCUUGAAAUGGAUGCUUAGCAAAGUCAUCCCUAUUUUUAGAUAAUAUCUUUAUAUAUGGUUAAUGUUCUCUAGAGGAAUCGUAGACGAACAUUGAUAGAAUAUUUUACCUGUAUAGUCUUCUUCAAGUUAGAAAAUGAUUUUGUCAUUGUUUAAAGUUUUGUAUCCUAUUUUCUUCAUGCAAAAAAUUUACAAUGUGACUUUUUCAAUAUGCAAAUGAUUUGCAUUUUUCUAUCAAUUUUAUGAAUGUCACUCCUUUUCCAGUGUGUCCAUGUAUGUGGUGUAUGUAUAUGUGCACUUACAUGCAUUGAAUAUACGUUAUUAGCUUUUUUGUAUGGAAGAAAACACAAAUUUUCACUGCCAUGUUUAAUUUUGAGCAUAACAUAGAUUUUUCACAAUUUUGACAUUUGUAUUUAUUUGUGGCGACUGUUUACGCAGUGGUGUUGUGGCCACUGUAACGGAAAGUAUGUUAUUCUCUGUCUAGAGUCAGUAACAAAGGCAUCUAUUUUUGGUACGUCUAGCAAUCUCUCAAACAAAUUCGUGGAUACAGUAGUUGUACAUCGGAAAUCUGGUCUUUUGACUCGUGUAUGCAAGGAACAUGUUUUAGGAAUCUCGUAGAUGGAUGAUAAGGCUUUCCAGUUACAGUGAGUGUAUAUACCAUCUCAGUUGUAUUGUGAAGCUAGUUCUGGCACUACAUAUAAGAACCAAAGUAUUUUGUAUUGUUAAAACCUUUAAUAUAUUCUUUUAUGUUUUAGAUAAUUUUUGUAUUACAGUAUUGUUUUGUUUCCUUGAGCAUUAGGUAAAGUAGAGGCCUUUUAACGCUACUUUUUUUUAAUUAUACCAACAGACCUGACAGAGCAGUGUAUUUUAUUUUCAUUAAAUUUCAAAUUUGAAUUUAUAAUGCCAGAACUUCAGUAAUUGGCUCAAGGGGUGUAAGUUAUGUAUGGUUUUCUGUUAUAAGAAACAUAUGUUUAUAACACUGUUUUAUCUCCAAAUAUCAACCUUCAACAAAGUGUUUGUGCAACAUGGAUUUUAUAAUUUUCAAAAUGGUUUUGAUUUUGUUUUGUAGGAGGAAAGAUUUUUCAGUCUGUAGCCAUGAUUUGAUGUCUUGGUGUCAGUAUGCCAACUUGAUGUCGCCUUUUUUCGUAUUUUGAGAACUGAAGAGUGCGACUGGGUUUUUCAGGCAUUUUCUCUGGUGCUUCUCGUACUUGAAGCAAGUGUUCGUGCUUUAGGUGUUCAGUGUAUUAAAAAGAUGUGUGUAGACGAAUUCAACCAGUCUGGGUUCAGUUGUAGCCGUUGUACAGCCCUUCUCUCGGUACAUCCCUUCUCGAGAGAUUACGGUGUUGAAAUUGAAGAAUGCUUUUGGAAGUUAGUUCUUGGUCCAGAGGAAAGAUGGCAUUUAGUUUUACAAGGAAGGUUGUGUUGUGGUCCAAGUUGUUCAACAUUCGUUUCAAGGCAUUCAGGUAUUAGUAUACUACAAAUUAACACAGAGCAAAACAGUAUCUCGCGUCUUAUUUAGUUCCACUAAUGCAAUUGUUUCUUAACAACUUUUGCACGGUUGUAUUUGUUGUCGUUCGGUUUUAUGUUAAGAUCAUGAUUAUUUAGUCUUUUUCUGUUUAUGCUGCAUGUCACACUAUAGCUUGUAAGGAACCAGAUUUUUGCAUUUAUGAUCUUAGACUCUCAAUAUAUCAUAAGUUGAAUAUGAGAAAUCAGAUAGUAUGUGUCUGUCACAGUUAUGGUUUUGUUGAGUUGUUGUCUGAUACACAACUUAGGUAUCCUAUAUGGAUAGGUUUAGUUUGAUUGACAAAAUUAUUUUUAUUACUACACAACUUCUGAAUCCUCGAAGGAUAGGUUCAGUUUUCAUACAAUGUUUGUAUGUUUGUGGCUACUUCUUUUAGGAAUCCAAUUAUGAUUGUAUUGCACCACAAUCCUUAUUAGAUAUGUUGUAGAGUCACCAUUGUAUGUUCAGUCAUCACAUAAAAAACAGUUCAGUCCAGCAUUUUAGAAGCUUUCACUGAAAUUUAAUUUCAGUUCUUCGGAGUUUUCAUUUUAAGGAAUCUGUAAGUUGACCAAAAAACUUAGUACUGUAUUAGGAUUUUUGGUAAACUUUAUUUGUAGUAUAGUUUUUGUACACAUAUCCUAGUACUCAUAAUGAAGGAGGGAGAGGCCCUCUUUCAUUUACACUGUCAUUGUUGUCACAAUUGUACGGGGCUUGUGGAUGAAGGAGCAAAAGAUCCUUGAUGGAGCAUGUUUCUAAAGUGGUGAUUCUUCAGUCUUCUUCAGCCAUUUUUGUACCAGGUUGAAAAAAACUUUUAUUUUAUCUCAUUCCUUUUCUUUAAUGUAAAGGUACAAUGAACUUUUUCUGUACUGUAAAGGUACAAUGUACAAUAUCUGUUAUCUUCUGUUUGCAUAUGUCUAUAAUGAUUUUUUUUUGCAUUGUCAUGGUUGUAAGCUGAAUGACGUUGCAUGGUUAGUGUAGUGAUGAAAGGUUUGGUCAUCCAAUCCGUCUACUAUAUAUAUAUAUUUCUACGUACAUAGUAUAUAUUUAGUAGUUGUUUGCGUUGAAAAUGCUUGCCCAGAGUCCUUAUACUAGCUGAAGUAAUCUGGUAAUGACCGAAAGAGGAUGGGACUUUAUGUUCUUACAAGAAGAAUUACAGUGGGUUAAUGAUUUGAUUUGUGAGCUUACUUCUUGGGUGGUUUUGAUAAAAAUCUAUGGGUACUAAAUAGUAAUCUGUUAUCCACUGAUCUGUAAACAAUGUGCAGCUCAUUUAUGAUGAAAGUUCCUUUGCGUGGUACCAGAAUCUCCCUUGUGUCUGUUAAUCCCAUCACACUUCCCUUAGGGAGUGGGGAGGUCAUACCUACGUCUUUGUUUCUUUCGUAUGUUAGUGGGCAUUCAUUGAAUAUCCUAAAGGAUAGGGGAAAUGUUUGAUAACACAACGUGUAUGGUAGCAAUAGAAUAUGUAGAUAAAAAAAUAAAUCUCAUCUCGAUUCACUUAAAAAGAUUCUCGUGUCACUGUUUCAUCGGUCGGUAAAAUCCUGUAUCUGCCUGUUGUGUCAGUCCCCGCCUGGGUUUCAGAACCAGCGCAUUGAAUUUGUUUCUCCAGAGACUUAAUUCGGUCAGUCACAAAAUUAGGUGAAGCCCAGGCGACUGAUAUUGUUAUUAUUCUUCGAAACCUCACUGAGACAUGUAACUUCAAACUAUUCUCCUGUCUUCUUAAAGCUUCUAUUACAGUAUUAAAAAUGUG